rnacentral:rRNA from 1 species
AAUGAACGCUGGCGGUAGGCCUAACACAUGCAAGUCGAACGGCAGCACAGUGAGCUCUUGCUUUUACGGUUGGCGAGUGGCGGGCGGGUGAGGAGUAGAUCGGCAUCUACUUAUACUUGGAUGAUAACGUAGGGAAGCUUACGCUACUACCGCAUACUUCCUACGGCAUGAUUCAGAGGAGAUUGAGACCUUGCGCGAUUGUUAUAGACGGAGCCGGAUUAGCUAGUUGGUGUGGUAAAGGCACACCAAGGCAACGAUACGUAGCCGAGCUGAGAGGAUGAUCAGCCACACUGGAACUGAGACACGGUCCAGACUCCUACGGGAGGCAGCAGUAGGGAAUAUUGCGCAAUGGGCGAAAGCCUGACGCAGCAACGCCGCGUGGGUGAAGAAGGUCUUCGGAUCGUAAAGCUCUGUUAUUAGGGAAGAACAAAUGUGGAAUAAACCCUGCACGUCUUGACGGUACCUAAUGAGAAAGCCACGGCUAACUUCGUG